UACAGAGGGUGCGAGCGUUAAUCGGAAUUACUGGGCGUAAAGCGCGCGUAGGCGGCUUUGCAAGUCGGGUGUGAAAUCCCCAGGCUUAACCUGGGAACUGCAUUCGAGACUGCAUUGCUAGAGUAUGGGAGAGGGAAGUGGAAUUUCCGGUGUAGCGGUGAAAUGCGUAGAUAUCGGAAGGAACAUCAGUGGCGAAGGCGACACGCUGGGCCGUACCUGACGCUAAAGCGCGACAGCAUGGGGAGCAAACGGG
rnacentral:rRNA from 1 species